UACGUAGGGGGCAAGCGUUGUCCGGAAUCAUUGGGCGUAAAGCGCGUGUAGGCGGCUCGGUAAGUCUGCUGUGAAAGUCCAAGGCUCAACCUUGGAAUGCGGGUGGAUACUGCCGGGCUAGAGUCCGGAAGAGGCGAGUGGAAUUCCUGGUGUAGCGGUGGAAUGCGCAGAUAUCAGGAGGAACACCAAUAGCGAAGGCAGCUCGCUGGGACGGUACUGACGCUAAGGCGCGAAAGCGUGGGGAGCGAACAGG
rnacentral:rRNA from 1 species